rnacentral:tRNA from 1 species
GCCGGUGUGAUGGAAUGGCAGACAUACGGGACUUAAAAUCCCGAGGCCCUCAAAAGCCGUGCGGGUUCGAGUCCCGCCACCGGUACCA